UAUUCGGGGAGACGAGGUGGUGCAGUGGUUGUCGUCAGCUCGUGUCGUGAGAUGUUCGGGUUAAGUCCCGCAACGAGCCGCAACCCUAUUGCUAGUUACCAUCAGUUAAGUUGGGGACUCUAGCGAGACUGCCAGUGAUAAACUGGAGGAAGGUGGGGAUGACGUCAAAUCAUCAUGCCCCUUAUGACCUGGGCUACAAACGUGAUACAAUGGCUGGAACAAGGGAUGCGAAGCAGUGAUGUGGAGCGAAACCCAUAAAAACAGUCUCAGUUCGGAUUGAAGUCUGCAACUCGACUUCAUGAAGUCGGAAUCGCUAGUAAUCGCGGAUCAGAACGCCGCGGUGAAUACGUUCUCGGGGUUU
rnacentral:rRNA from 1 species